GGGCUCACACAAGCGGUGGAGCAUGUGGCUUAAUUCGAGGCAACGCGAAGAACCUUAUCCUGGGUUUGACAUGUACGGAUGGCUCGCCUGAAAGGGAUGAGUCUGCCUUCGGGUGAAACGUACACAGGUGCUGCAUGGCUGUCGUCAGCUCGUGUCGUGAGAUGUAGGGUUAAGUCCCAUAACGAGCGCAACCCCUAUUUCUAGUUGCCAGCGGUUCGGCCGGGGACUCUAGAAAAACUGCCAGCGUAAGCUGUGAGGAAGGUGGGGAUGACGUCAAAUCAUCACGGCCCUUACGUCCUGGGCUACACACGUGCUACAAUGGUAGGGACAGAGAGUUGCCAACCCGCGAGGGUGAGCUAAUCUUCAAACCCUAUCUCAGUUCGGAUCGGAGUCUGCAACUCGACUCCGUGAAGUUGGAAUCGCUAGUAA
rnacentral:rRNA from 1 species